rnacentral:rRNA from 1 species
UACGUAGGUGGCAAGCGUUGUCCGGAUUUACUGGGCGUAAAGGAUGCGUAGGCGGACAUUUAAGUCAGAUGUGAAAUACCCGAGCUUAACUUGGGUGCUGCAUUUGAAACUGGGUGUCUAGAGUGCAGGAGAGGUAAGUGGAAUUCCUAGUGUAGCGGUGAAAUGCGUAGAGAUUAGGAAGAACACCAGUGGCGAAGGCGACUUACUGGACUGUAACUGACGCUGAGGCAUGAAAGCCAGGGGAGCAAACGGG